UGAGAAUCUACAUUAUUUUUGUCAAUUUCCACCCUAGAUGCUUGCCCUGCAUAAUAACAUACAGAAAUGAAAUUUCGUAAAAUCUAAUAAGUUAAGCACUCCAUCAACAAUAGUAUCACAAAAAAUACUAACGUCUAAAAUCUGACCCAUCAAUGCCCGAGUCAAGAAGGCUAAGCAUGUACUGCCUCUUUAAGUGUGGUGGAAGAGAAAAGAACACUACGCUCUUGCUUGGUUCUGCUGCGAGAAUAUCGACCGCCUUUAUCACUUCACCUCCGGUCAACGCCUCCAAUGUAAGUAGCUCCUCUACUACUCUCACUGCAUUCUUCUCAGUCAUCUCUUGUUAAUGUGCCAUUGCUUCAACUAUGAUACCAAAAUGAGUAUCCAUGUGCGACAUAAAUGUCCCAAAGGUCUUAGAAAUAGCCUCUAAAGUCUCCUUCACAAAUUUGGAUUCUCUCAUCAUCCUUGCCUCCUUCUCUUAGAUAACUUUCUACUUCUUUGCCUUCCUCUUAUCUUAAAAAUAGCAUAAUAUCACAAGUAUAUAACAAUAAUAUUGUUAAAAUUCAAAAUAUGAAGUACACAAACAAGUAAAACCAUGUCACAAACAAUUUCAUAACAAGUAAAUAAUUCCAUAACAAGUCCACAACAUACUACAUCCAAUGUUCUAAAAUCACCAACAUACUUGAACCAAAAAAAAAACACAACACAAUCAACUCUUAAAAGGUAUAGAUCUCCAAUUGUUAAACAUUUGUUGAGCUAGAGUGUUCCUGAAAUUGGUUCAAUAGUCAGAUGUCUCAAGAGUGAUGAUGGACUCAACUUCAUCCUCUACCUAUUCUUCCUCUCUUUCCUCUUCCUCUUCACUCUCUUCCUCUUCUUCCUUUUCUAUAGUGUCUCUAUGCAUAUACCUCCUUAUUAAGUUGUGAAGGAGACAACAGACCAUAAUAAUGCGACAUUGGAUCUGUAUAGGGAAGAACAAAGGGCUCCUAAGAAUUGCCCAUCAUCCCUUGAGCAAUCCAAAAUAUCUCUCAAUCACAUUCCUAACUUAGGCAUGUUUCUUCUGAAAUACUCCUCUG
rnacentral:lncRNA from 1 species